rnacentral:lncRNA from 1 species
AUUGAAUCAUGGGGGCAGGUCUUUCCUGUGCUGUUCUCAUGAUAGUGAAUAAGUUUCGUGAGAUCUGAUGAUUUUAUAAAGGGAAGUUUCCCUGCAUGUGCUCUCUUGCCUGCUGCCACGUAAGACAUGGCUUUGCUCCUGCUUCAUCUUCUGCCGUGAUUGUCCACCUCCUUUGAUCCACACGAUAUCCUUCAUGAGGAAGAUAUCAGCAUCCGCAUUAUAUGGACAAAGACAGCAGAGACUCAGAGAAAUGAAGCACGCACCAGUGCUUAGUCAAGUCAAAAUGUUCUGAACUCUGGCUCGCCCUCAGCCUGAGCCGCAAAAUAGUCUGGCCUCGGAGAAACAGUCUUCAGUUUCCUAUAGGAUCGUGCCACCCAUUCAUCCCCCUUCUCAUUCAUUCUUGCCUGUUUACUCCUCUCUAUGAAAGAAAACCCCUGUUUGCCUAACUCUUGGGGAUGCCUGCAGAUCUUGGGGUCAGAGAAGCUCCCUGCUGCAAUAAUCGCUUUCCCCACUCUGCAAUAAUCCUUUUAAAUAAAAUCUUUCCUUACUAAGUCCAGAUUUCUUUUUUAUUUGACAAUGACCACAGGCAAGUGAUUUCACUGCAGUUUCCUCCAUCUGUAAAGUAAGAAAAAU